UCAGCUCUCUUUGCCUUUUGGCUCAGAUCAAGUGAAGUGGCUGUUCUUUUCAGUUUAAUCUCUGGAAGUCCCCUACGGGGGUACGAGAUUAAACUAGUUUUUGGAGACCGCCUCUGGGGCGCUGGGCUCCGCUCAUCUUCAGAGGCACGGUGUCGCCCGUAUUGCACUGUCUCGGGCUGACGCGACCUUCA
rnacentral:snRNA from 1 species